rnacentral:miRNA from 1 species
CUGAACCCCUGCCUGGCACGUGAACCCUGGGGAGGUUGUAUCAUCUUGGUUUCCUUUUCUUUAAAAUAGGGAUCAUGCCAUCUGCUGUAUAUACUUCCAGGCUGUUGGGGGAAUUUUUU